rnacentral:lncRNA from 1 species
ACCCCGCCCGACCCCAAAACCAAAACUCAAACCCUAAGAGGCUAAGCUCAGUCUCGACCUCCAUUUUGAACCCAUACUCGAGCUCCUCCCAAAACUCGACUCAGUCGAACUCGCGGCCACUGUUAACCUUCAUCCAGUCCUUCAUCUUACGCGCCUCCCACUACGACAACGUCCGCUGCUGCCCUUCAUCAACUCUCGCUGUUGCCCUCCCCCUGCCAAACCAAUAAUGUCGACGCCGACCAAGCAUUGUGCUCCGAGGAGGAGGAGGACAUCAUCCAGGCUUUUCUAAACGGCUACGUUCCGUCUUAGUCUCUCGAUUUAAAGGUCGGCAACUGCAAGAAAUCGGCAGCGAUUCGGCGCUAGUGGCUUCAAAGAACGACCGGGAGGCCACUGGGUAAUACAGGGCGACUGUCGAAGGUGCAGAUCUGGACUCUUUAAGGAGACGAAGUA